CCUACGGGUGGCACCAGUGGGGAAUAUUGCGCAAUGGGGGCAACCCUGACGCAGCCAUGCCGCGUGAAUGAAGAAGGCCUUCGGGUUGUAAAGUUCUUUCGGUAGCGAGGAAGGCAUUUAGUUUAAUAGACUAGGUGAUUGACGUUAACUACAGAAGAAGCACCGGCUAACUCCGUGCCAGCAGCCGCGGUAAUACGGAGGGUGCGAGCGUUAAUCGGAAUAACUGGGCGUAAAGGGCACGCAGGCGGUGACUUAAGUGAGGUGUGAAAGCCCCGGGCUUAACCUGGGAAUUGCAUUUCAUACUGGGUCGCUAGAGUACUUUAGGGAGGGGUAGAAUUCCACGUGUAGCGGUGAAAUGCGUAGGGAUGUGGAGGAAUACCGAAGGCGAAGGCAGCCCCUUGGGAAUGUACUGACGCUCAUGUGCGAAAGCGUGGGGAGCAAACAGGAUUAGAUACCCGUGUAGUC
rnacentral:rRNA from 1 species